rnacentral:sRNA from 1 species
AGUCCUGCCAACAGCAUGGGCGCAGAUCCUCUCCCAGUGGAGCAUUUGGAUGACCACGGCUCUGGCUAACACCUCACUUACAGCCUUGGGAGAGAUUCUGAGUCAGAGGCAUCCAGCUAAAUUGACCCACAGACACAGUAAAUCAGGGAUUUCUUCUUGGUUUGGAUCCACUGUUGAUUUUAGGUUACAAAAAGAUGGCAGAUUGCAUCUUGGGCACUCUCUUGUAUGACUUUUUGGAGAAGCCAGUUUUCAUGUUGUGAGAGGCCUGGCAGAGGGGCCCAAAUGAGUUCGCUGGGAAGCGGAUCACAGAAACCAUGAGGCCUAUAAAAGCCCCAGGCUCAGCCAGAGCAGAGCAGAUGAUGGAUGACCAGCUGCAGAGAAGAGCUACCCUUUCUGCUGACAGCAGGAGAUGUCCCAACAACCAGCAGAAGAGAGAAGCUAUCCAUUCUAGGGCCUCUUCUCUGCUGAGAGCUUCAGAAACCUGCAGAGACAUCAAGACUACCAGCUGCAGAGUGGAACAAUCCACUCCAGGGCCACCUCUCUGCUGAGAGCUAAGAAGACAAUGAGAUGACCUGCCUGCUAGGAGGAGCUUCCCUCUCCAGGGUCUCCUUUCUGCUAGGAGCUGAACUCUCAUUGGAACAUCCUGGCUGUGGAAAGGAGCUACCCUCUGCAGGUCUCCUGUGUGCUGUUCUAUUGAUCAAUAAAGCUCCCCUUCAUCUCGUUCAUCCUCCACUUGGCUCUGUACCUCAUUCUUCCUAGUUGCAGGACAAGAACUCGGGACCUACCAAAUGGCAGAGCUAAAAGAGCUAUAACACAGGACUGAAACAUGCCCCCUGCUUGCCACAUUGAGGGCAAAGAGAAGGAGAGAAGAUCUGUGCCUUCUCAGGCAGCCCAGACCUGGGAGCUCCCUGAGCCAGGGCUGUGACUCCCUCUUUGGGGUCCUGUGGUGCCUAGUAUCUCCAAGCUUCCAGGUGCCACUGCAUUUCCUGGUGCCAGCUGGGGAAGCUUCCUGCAGUGCACCUGGUCUGGCCACAGCCUCUUAGAGAGUCAGUGCCUGUGCCAGCACCUGUAACUGCCCACCCCAUUGCAGCAGCCGGCAUGUCCGAUUGCACACUGGCUGAACCCCAUGCUCCCUCACACACCCCUUGCCACUCCAUGCCUGACUUACCCUUGGCAGGUAUGGGAUCCAGGCCAGUAGUGUCAGCCAAGUAAAGCCUGCCAGGCCAGGUAGGCAGAAUAAACCCAGUGGGCCUAAGCAAGACUUGGGCAAAGACAUCACCAGCCAGAAAAACAAUAUCCCAAGAAUCUUGUGACACUAGGCAUAGUGAAGUUCUUUAUUAAUUUGUAGAUUUUUAUCCUGGAAAAUUCUAAUAUUUUCAACUAUUAAAAAAGAUAAUCCCCAAAAUAAUGCUUUAUUGUCAUGUAAAAUAUUAAAUAGAUUGUAGGUAACUUAGCUAUAUUAUUCUAAGAUAAAAUUCAUUAACUUGUCUUCAAGAAACUAGUUCCUAAAAUGCACUUUUAACUGUAUUUAUAAUCUCACUAGUCCUCUACUUAAUUAGGAAGUGGAAUAAAAUAUUUGAUAUAUUUUCUUUUUAUAUUUACAAAAGUCACCAUUUAAAUUCUUUGAAUUUUAACAUGUUAUACUUUUGGAGGAUCCAUUGAGACACUAAAGUGGGUUCAUAAAGCCAACCAAACUGUGAUAGCACAGAAAUGUACUUCAGGAGCUGUUUAGGAGGAGAGACUUUUCUUUCUCCUCAAAGUGAUUCUCAAAUAGCAAUAGAGUCCUGGUGCAGUGGCUCAUGCCUACAAUCGAGCACUUUGGGAGGCCAAGGUGGGAGAAUUGUUUGAGCCCAGGAGUUCAAGAUCAGCACAGGCAACAUAGCGAGACCUCAUCUCUACAAAAAAUACAGAAAUUAGCCAGGUGUGCCGGCAUGUGCUGUGUUUUUUGUCCAGCUACUUGGGAGGCUGAAGUGGAGGGAUUUCUUGAAACUGGGAGGUCAAGACUGAAGUAAGCCAUGAUCCUGCCACUAUACUCCUACAUGGGGGAAAGAGCAAGACUCUGUCUCAAAAACAAAAAAACAAAAAAACAAAAAAACAAGGCAAUAGAACUGUACCUUUGCUGUGAUGCUAGUCUACUACAAGUUGGCUUUUUUCUUUAAAUUUUGAAUUUUUCAUUUUCUUUUCUAGUUCUUCACCAUUUUGGUUCUGGAUAUAGUUUCCACUAGAAGAUGAUAAUGAUGAUAAUGAUAAUCCCCAUGCAUGCAUUAAUAAUUGGGAAUGUAAUUUUAUAAUCUGAACUUUAAAGACCUCUGUUAAGAUUAAAGGGAUUUCUUGUCCUUCAUAUGAGACAUGACAAGGAAUGAGAGUUGUCAUUUUUUUAAUUCUUUGUUUCUCUAUUUGUGUAUCCAAAUAAUUUCAUAAAACAUUUUAUAACUACUAGAAGGGAAAAUAAUCCUUUGAAAUCUUGAACAGUGAAUUUUGGUGUUUCCUUGGUUACUUAAUCUGUUGCAGAGAUGGUUAUAAUUAAAGCUACAAUUUUCUCUGUGUUGCUAUAA